GACGAACGCUGGCGGCGUGCUUAACACAUGCAAGUCGAACGGAAAGGCCCUGCUUUUGUGGUGUGCUCGAGUGGCGAACGGGUGAGUAACACGUGAGUAACCUGCCCUUGACUUUGGGAUAACUUCAGGAAACUGGGGCUAAUACCGUAUAGGAGCUCCUGCUGCAUGGUGGGGGUUGGAAAGUUUCGGCGGUUGGGGAUGGACUCGCGGCUUAUCAGCUUGUUGGUGGGGUAGUGGCUUACCAAGGCUUUGACGGGUAGCCGGCCUGAGAGGGUGACCGGCCACAUUGGGACUGAGAUACGGCCCAGACUCCUACGGGAGGCAGCAGUGGGGAAUAUUGCACAAUGGGCGGAAGCCUGAUGCAGCAACGCCGCGUGCGGGAUGACGGCCUUCGGGUUGUAAACCGCUUUCGCCUGUGACGAAGCGUGAGUGACGGUAAUGGGUAAAGAAGCACCGGCUAACUACGUG
rnacentral:rRNA from 1 species